rnacentral:rRNA from 1 species
AGGGAGUAUAAGAUGGUUUCUUUCUUCAAGUUGGUAGGCCGGUGCAGAACCCGGCGCUUUCCAGUAAGACGGAAAGACCCCGAGAGCUUGAAUUUAGUUUUUUAUCUGGGAAAGAGGCAUAUUUUUUAUAUGUUUUGUGAGCCUGAUUUGGGAUGAAGGUGUAAGUUACCUCGGGGAUAACUAGGUAAUAGGCAAUGAGAGAAGCUAUCGAUUUGUUUGUUUGCCAUCUCGAUGUUGAUUCGGGGUUUAGCGUAGAGGUGGAGAGGCUUCUAAUGUUGUGGUCUGUUCGACCUUAGAUCCCCAUGAGCUGAG